CAGAGGGGUGCGAGCGUUAAUCGGGAUUUACUGGGCGUAAAGCGCGCGUAGGUGGUUAAUUAAGUCAAAUGUGAAAUCCCCGAGCUUAACUUGGGAAUUGCAUUCGAUACUGGUUAGCUAGAGUAUGGGAGAGGAUGGUAGAAUUCCAGGUGUAGCGGUGAAAUGCGUAGAGAUCUGGAGGAAUACCGAUGGCGAAGGCAGCCAUCUGGCCUAAUACUGACACUGAGGUGCGAAAGCAGUGGGAGCAAACAGGAUU
rnacentral:rRNA from 1 species